GCCACAGCAGUGACCUGAGCCACUGCAGUGACAACACCGGAUCCUUAACUCGCUGUACCACAAGAGAACUCCUAAGAUUAAUUCUAUAAGCAAAAUUACUGAGUCGAUGGCUAUGCCAAAGUUUAAGGCUUUGACCUGUAUCUGUGCAUUUUUGUUUCCCAAAGAAAGUUCUGCAGUCUUUAAACUAGGUUUGGAGAUAUCAAAUUAUAGUGACAAGUACUCACAGGAACUAUCACUGAGUCCCGCUUCACCUCUCAGGGAGGCACAGAUUGGAAGUGCUAAGGAAGAAAAUGUGUCAUUUGACCAAACAAUUCUUUGAUAAUUUGUCAAGAAGCUGUUGUGUCUGGCACACAGCAGCUGCUCAAUCACUGUUUCUCAAGUGGCCCCAAGUUUUGGCUCUUAUGAAGCCAUGUGCUCCAUUCCUGCUUUAGAGGAGUUUCUGCAUGAUCUCUUAGCAUCCUCUGUAUAGGAAGUCACACAGUCAGUUUGACCCCGGAACCAUCUACAUAGACACAAAACCAACACCAACAUCUAAACAGAGUCCAAAGAAGUUUCCCACCGACUGUCUCAGAAACAGUCUGUAAUGCCAGCAUAGGGACCCAUUCUCUCCAUGUCUAUAGGUAGGAAUAAUGAAACAAAUAUUCCUUAUGUAAUUUCUCUUUAACAAAAAAUUCAAUCAUCCUCUCCUUUCUUGGUGAAAUUCAACAGUGAAAAAAUAUAAAAUAGACUAUGACAAGUAAGAAAUACUUGGGCCCAUGUUUCAGAAUCAUUUCUAAUUCAAGUGCCCAAUUUGUCCCCCCGCCGUGCAUGUAACUCGUCUUUGUCACCCUCAAAUGACCACUCUCCUAACAUUCCUUUCCUUUCCUGCUAGCUUCCAGAAGCCAGAGGGGAAGGAUCAGUAGCCAAUAAAUAAAUAAAUCAGGAAAACAGAUCAAAGUUUAGAAAAUUUUGACAUCUUCUCCUCAAUCAUCAAAAAAUGACUUUUAAAAAUAUGUACCAACCUGGCCAUUCCUUGAUAGUUUGGCAGACACCAUUCCUUCCUCAAAAGCAUAAUUUAACACAAAAAGCAUUGCUGGGGGCUGUCAGAACAAGUUACUACUGAAAGGCCAUUGAAUGGGACACAUAGUCAAAAAAUUACCAUUGCUCGUCGGUCAACACCAGCUGUACUCGAAUUUGGAUAAACGAAAUCACUCACUUAGCUGCAUCUGGGUCACUGCAGAACUCUGAGCUUAGAAAGAGAACUGGGUUAUGUAGGGCUGGGCUCUAGCCUGAGAUUCAUGUAGGACCACACUCCCAGUGACCAGGCACCAUCAUCUCAACCCAACGAGCUGCCAAGAAACCUUGAAGGGCUCAACUAUGAGUCCCUGGUGGGUAGAGAGUAAGUCUUCCUAUCUUUGCAACCAGAGGCUGUAGCACUGGGCCUGACAGUCGGGGUGAAUGAGCUGAAACACUCAAAAGUGGCACCUUCCCAGGAGUAAGGUUUCCAGUGAUGGACGAUGCGUCAGGGUAGCAAGAGUGAUGACAGCUGUUUCCCAAGACCUGAAGCGGACUCUGUGGCUCACUAGAGAUAGCUCAGGAGAAACACUGGGGCAUUAAAACAUCUUCUAUGAAGAUGGGUGCUGCCUUCAUGCCUAAGAGCCCUAAAUGUGCCUGCCAACUUUGCCACUCUGAACUCAGGUACAUUUUCACCCCGCCAUUGGCUCUCCAAGGCAGGCUUUUUUUUUUUUUUUUUUUUUUUUUUUCCUGUCUUCUGUUGUCUUUUGAGGGCCACACCUGCAGCACAUGGAGGUUCCCAGGCUAGGGGUCAAAUCAGAGCUGUUCUUACCAGCCUAAGCCAGAGCCACAGCAACGUGGGAUUUGAGCUGCAUCUGCGACCUACACCACAGCUCACAGAAACACCGGAUCCUUAACCCAUUGAGCAAGGCCAGGGAUCGAACCGCAACCUCAUGGUUCCUAGUCAGGUUCAUUUCUGCUGCACCAUGACGAGAACUCCAAAGCAGGCUUUAAAUCCUAUUUUCUUAGGACUCAAUUUGCAGGAGAUGAACAAAUCCAGAAAACCUGUGUUUAAACACCAAUUAACCUCCUUUAAUUCCCUCAUCUGUACAAAGGAGAGAUUUCCUACAUCAAAUUAUAUAACUGUUCAACAUGGCGCCUGACACGGUGCUUAAUACGUAGAAGUUGGUACUUUUACUAUUAUUAUUCUAUUUAUUUAUCUUUUUAGGGCCACACCCAAGGCAUAUGGAGGUUCCCAGGCUAAGGGUCUAAUCGGAGGUAUACCCACCAGCCUACACCACAGCCAGAAAAACACGGGAUCUGAGCCACAUCUUCGACCUACACCACAGCUCACGGCAAUGCCAGAGCCUUAACCCACUGAGCAAGACCAGGAAUCGAACCUUACCGUCCUCAUGGAUACUAGUCAGAUUCAUUUCUGCUGAGCCAUGAUGCGAACUCCCUACUUUUAUUAUUAAAGACCCCAGAGGAAUCCAGCAAAGGUGAGGGAGCCUCUUUUUUCUAUUGAAGUACCGUUGAUUUACAAUAUUGUGUUAGUUUCAAGUAUACAGCAAAGUGAUUCCGUUAUAUAUAUCUGUAUAUUCUCUCUCUUUUUUAAUUCUUUUCCAUUAUAGUUCAGAGGGAGUCUCUUUAAAAGCAGCUAAAUCACAUCCUAAUUUUUGAUCUAGGCAAAUUAAACUAAUCAUAGUAGAAUGCUGACAGCUGUAAUGAAUCGUGAGCAGGGAAUCACGUUUAGCUAGGAUGGCUAACUCUUUAUGUUAAAAAUCAAAUUUUUACUGAGAAAAGAAUUCAUGAAAAAAGAAAAACUCAAGUCAUCUUAACAGACUCUGCCUCUGUCUCUCUCUCUCUCUCACUCACACACACACACAGCUUUCAGGCGUCCUUGAAGUCAAUAAAAUUGUGACCCCGAUACAUUAAGAAAAAUGCCCUAAGCCAGCCAAGAGUGAAAAUAAACAUGACUGAGCAAUAAAUUGGGAUCGCCUUCCCUCUCCUCCUCCCCGCCACAUGCUCGGGCUUCGCGGGGCAAAACACAGUCCAUAUGGAGGCUCUGACGUAACGGGGCCCACCCCCGCCCUCUCCUCACAGGCCUCCCCCAGGUGACUCCCGGCCCAGGCGGCCCGGGGCACCGAACAAACAUGAGCUGAUGCAGAUGGAAUGAGCAGAUGUCUGGCGUACCGAGCCCAGGCUGUGAGGGACAGCCCGUGAGAGUGAGGAGGAGGCUUGGAGGGGAGCAGGCACCCCAUUUCCCUGCCCGAUCCCCUGAACCCCGAGUGCCAGCGGCAGCGACGGGGCAAGCAGCCCUUCCAACCCCUGAGGACCCCGUCCUCCUGCCUCCCCCGAGACCUUGACUCCCAGACCCAGACAGAGCCUUAGGGUCAAGGCGGCUCGGAGUCACCUGAUCCCAUCUGUCCGUGUGAGACAGAUGAGAACACCGAGGCCUGGGGCCUUAAGGGACUUGACCCCCAGGGUGCACCGGGAGUGGCAGCCUCUGCAGCACUGGGACGCAGGACCAGUCCCAAAAUCCCAACCUGCUCGGUGGGCUAGGGAUCCAGCAUUGACAUUCCUGAUGCAGGAACUCCACAUGCCUCAAGGCAGCCAAAAAACAAAAGGGGGCUUGCCCAACCUCAGGUAAUAGUUUAUGGCCAAACAGAUUUCCACUCUCCUACCUUCUAGAAUAAUCCUUUUUUAUAUUCUACUGCUGACGCUGACGCAGUAUGAUCAAAGAUCAUUCAUCCAACUUUUCAUUAAAUCCUCACUGUGGGAGUAGGGAGGGAGAAAUCAGGCGUUUGGGAUUAAAAGGUACACACUACUA
rnacentral:lncRNA from 1 species